CAAGUUUGAGUGUAGCGGCUCAAAUCCUAUACUUCCUUGGCAGUAAAGACUCAAUGCAGAAUUCAUCCCAAUUUUGAAAAGAGGAGCAUUUUAAAAGGCGCUUACAGCAAUGAAAUGAAGAGUGUAUUUUGUUGCCCUGAAAACAACACAGAGGGAGACCAGAUUGCUCCUACAUGUUGCAAGUUUUGCAACUUGAGAGGCAUUCUACUGGGAAAGGAG
rnacentral:lncRNA from 1 species